rnacentral:rRNA from 1 species
GACGAACGCUGGCGGCGUGCCUAACACAUGCAAGUCGAACGGAAAGGCCCUGCUUUUGUGGGGUGCUCGAGUGGCGAACGGGUGAGUAACACGUGAGUAACCUGCCCUUGACUUUGGGAUAACUUCAGGAAACUGGGGCUAAUACCGGAUAGGAGCUCCUGCUGCAUGGUGGGGGUUGGAAAGUUUCGGCGGUUGGGGAUGGACUCGCGGCUUAUCAGCUUGUUGGUGGGGUAGGGGCUUACCAAGGCUUUGACGGGUAGCCGGCCUGAGAGGGUGGCCGGCCACAUUGGGACUGAGGGACGGACCAGACUCGUACGGGAGGCAACAGUGGGGAGUAUUGCACAGUGGGCGGGAGCCUGAUGCGGCAGCGCCGCGUGCGGGAAGACGGCCUUCGGGUUGUGAACCGCUUUCGCCUGUGACGAAGCGUGAGUGACGGUAAUGGGUAAAGAAGCACCGGCUAACUACGUG